rnacentral:rRNA from 1 species
GGGCCCGCACAAGCGGUGGAGUAUGUGGUUUAAUUCGAUGCAACGCGAAGAACCUUACCAGGGUUUGACAUCCUGCGAAUCUCUUGGAAACAGGAGAGUGCCUUCGGGAACGCAGUGACAGGUGGUGCAUGGCUGUCGUCAGCUCGUGUCGUGAGAUGUUGGGUUAAGUCCCGCAACGAGCGCAACCCACGUCUUUAGUUGCCAGCAUUAAGUUGGGGACUCGCAGGAGACUGCCGGGGUCAACUCGGAGGAAGGUGGGGAUGACGUCAAGUCAUCAUGCCCCUUAUGCCCAGGGCCGCAAACACGCUACAAUGGCCGGUACAGAGGGCUGCGAUCCCGCGAGGGUGAGCGAAUCCCACAAAGCCGGUCUCAGUUCGGAUUGGAGUCUGCAACUCGACUCCAUGAAGCCGGAGUUGCUAGUAAUCGC